rnacentral:hammerhead_ribozyme from 1 species
GCACUGCUGAGGAGUCCCACAGUAGGACGAAACAGUCGUCCAGUGC